GGUUUACAAACAAUGCAUCUCAUUUCUUGAUCGAAAAUAUAAAAAAGAGAAACAAAAGCCGGAGCCAGCGACAUCGCUCGAAUUUAUUCAAUCUUGGCGACAAGACUGAGUGUUUGCAGAACCAUAGGAGUAUCGUUGGAAGAGAAGAAGACAGGGAAAUGGCUUAAACACACGAAUUGUAUUUAGGAAGACGUGCCGGCAAAACUAUUGCAAGUUUGACUGUUCAGCAUAAUGUUAGAACAACAAACUCUUCACCUAUGCACGGUCAUCAGCCCCUGCCAGGUCCUGGCCUGUCAUUUGUGUCACAAGGAAGUACCACACCUGGUCAUGUGUCAGGAAUUGGAGAGAUAACAUCUUACUUAGAAGUAAAUUGAAGGCAGCCAACAAUUGGACGGUGGUGCCAAUCAAUGAAAAGAAGGGAUACACGUACAUGCACUGAGUACACAGAGAUCAUCAAGGAAAAAACACUUCGAUCAAAGUUCCUUUUUGAUUCAGCUUAUCCAAAGCUGAUUGCCUCUACAAUUGCCCCUUAUAUAUCCACCUGCGGCUAAAGAGGAGCUGCAAUAUCCAAUAGGUCAAGGGCAAGCAACCCGGAAACAAUAUGAAGAUUUACUCAUACAAAUUGGUACAUGGUGUAUGUAACUAUGUUGUUUUAACUAACUUCAACAUACCAUUAUUAUGAAUUAAAAAAUUGACAAAGCUGAAAUCAAUGAUAACUGACUAUGGGUAGGAACAUGUUGUGUGAAUUUGGCAGCAUGGUUAUAUAGGAUGUAUACCAUUGAGUAUGAAAGUGCAUGUGUGACCCUGGCUGUUUUUUCAGUCAGUAGAUGACUUUAGUAUUUGAAAUGAUGCUUGAAUUUAUUUGUGUAAUAUGAAGGCGUGACCAAAUGUGUGACAUUAUGGUCAACUGUCCUGUCAUCAUCAUGGUGAUAAAAUGUGAUUUUAAUAAGUGAACUGCUUAUAAACAUAGGGCAGAAAUAUCAUUGAUAAAAUACUGAUGAACAUAGCAUACAAGUGCCCUGAAAUGCCAUGAGAAUAUGUAUUUGAGUUUUAAGUGUGUAAGGUAUUGUGAAUUUUGUUAAUUGUUUUGUUAUAAAAAUAUAGGAUCCAAAGUAUUUAAUCAUAGAUCACUCUGAACAAGAAGAAUAAGUAAAAACCUUGUCUGGCAAAUAACUACAUAAACAAUGGGCCAAAUUCCAGAUUUUUUUGUCACAAGUCAAGACCAUUAACAGGAAUUGUUGACUCUUAUAGGUGUUAUGUAUCGUGAUGUGUGUUAAGUUUUUAAUGGGAGACCCAUGAUCAAACAUGGUGAAUUAAUUGUUUUGUUAUUACAAUUGAGGAUCCAAAGUAUUUGAUAUAGGUCACUCUGAAACAGAAGAAUUUGUGAAAACCUUGUCUGGCAAAUAGCUAAAUAAACACUGGGCUCAGCAUUUUCCUGAUUUUUUGUCACAAGUAAAGACUAUGAACAGGAAUUAUUGACUCUUUUAGGUAUAAGCUACCAUAGUCAAUGUUAAGUGCGUGCUGCACACCACAUUUGUUUAUGUUCCAUUAACAAUGACAUCAAAGCACAAUGCUAUAUAUAGACUAUGUAUUGUUUUCCAUUGUUUAUCAGUCUAUAAACAACCAUUUAUUAUGCCCCCCUUCGAAGAAGAGGGGGUAUAUUGCUUUGCUCAUGUCGGUCGGUCCGUCCGUCCACCAGGUGGUUGUCAGACGAUAACUCAAGAACGCUUGGGCCUAGGAUCAUGAAACUUCAUAGGUACAUUGAUCAUGACUUGCAGAUGACCCCUAUUGAUUUUGAGGUCACUAGGUCAAAGGUCAAGGUCAUGGUGACCCGAAAUAGUAAAAUGGUUUCCGGAUGAUAACUCAAGAACGCAUACGCCUAGGAUCAUGAAACUUCAUGGGUAGAUUGAUCAUGACUCGCAGAUGACCCCUAUCAAUUUUGAGGUCACUAGGUCAAAGGUCAAGGUCACGGUGACCCGAAAUAGUAAAAUGAUUUUCGGCUGAUAAUUCAAGAAUGCAUAUGCCUAGAAUCAUGAAACUUUAUAGGUAGAUUAAUCAUGACUCGCAGAUGACCCCUAUUUAUUUUCAGGUCACUAGGUCAAAGGUCAAGGUCACGGUGACCCGAAAUAGUAAAAUGAUUUUCGGAUGAUAACUCAAGAACGCAUAUGCCUAGGAUCAUAAAACUUCAUAGGUAGAUUGAUCAUGACUCGCAGAUGACCCCUAUUGAUUUUGAGGUCACAAGGUCAAAGGUCUAGGUCACGGUGACCCGAAAUAGUAAAAUGAUUUUCGGAUGAUAACUCAAGAACGCUUUUGUCUAGGAUCAUGACACUUCAUAGGUACAUUGAUCGUGACUUGCAGAUGACCCCUAUUGAUUUUCAGGUCACUAGGUCAAAGGUCAAGGUCACAGUGACAAAAGUCGUAUUCACACAAUGGCUGCCAGUACAACGGACAGCCCAUAUGGGGGGCAUGCAUGUUUUACAAACAGCCCUUGUUGUAAUAGCCUUACAUAAACUGUCAUAAAGAUGAUAAAGUGCUGUUAAUCCAUAAAUAAAAUAAAGAGCUGCGCCAUGAGCGCAUGAUACGCCCGUCGUUCGCCAAUGAAGUAGUAAGGUAAUAAAUAACCCUUUGAAUCAUUUUUUUACUUCAGUUUAUUUGUAUUUGAAUACAUGGUUUAUUUUAUAAGUACAUGAGCAUGGAGCGCCGUCUCCUUGACAUUCAACAAAGUCCCAUAACUCUGGAACGACAAUUCAGAAUUCCGUCAAAAACGAAAGGGGAUCAGGGUUUAUCAAUAUUAAGAUUGUGUUGAAAUUUGAAAAAAAUCCAUCGAAGGAUAUUAGAGCUACAGUAGGACAUUCAAUGAAAUAACGAAAUUUUGACGAACAAAGUCCCAUAACUCUGGAACGACAAUUCAGAAUUCCGUCAAAAACGAAAGGGGAUUAGGGUUUAUCAAUAUUAAGAUUGUGUUGAAAUUUGAAAAAAAUCCAUCGAAGGAUAUUUGAGCUACAGUAGGACAUUCAAUGAAAUCACGAAAUUUUGACGAACAAAGUCCCAUAACUCUGGAACGACAAUUCAGAAUUCCGUCAAAAACGAAAGGGGAUCAGGGUUUAUCAAUAUUAAGAUUGUGUUAAAAUUUGAAGAAAAUCUGUCAAAGGAUAUUUGACGUAGCGUACGACAUUAACAGACGGACGGACAGACGCGGGGUAUACCAUAAU